rnacentral:rRNA from 1 species
GCACAAGUGGUGGAGCAUGUGGUUUAAUUCGAAGCAACGCGCAGAACCUUACCAUCCCUUGACAUGGCAUGUUACCUCGAGGGAUCGGGGAUCCUCUUCGGAGGCGUGCACACAGGUGCUGCAUGGCUGUCGUCAGCUCGUGUCGUGAGAUGUUGGGUUAAGUCCCGCAACGAGCGCAACCCACGUCCUUAGUUGCCAUCAUUCAGUUGGGCACUCUAGGGAGACUGCCGGUGAUAAGCCGCGAGGAAGGUGUGGAUGACGUCAAGUCCUCAUGGCCCUUACGGGAUGGGCUACACACGUGCUACAAUGGCGGUGACAGUGGGACGCGAAACCGCGAGGUUGAGCAAAUCCCCAAAAGCCGUCUCAGUUCGGAUUGCACUCUGCAACUCGGGUGCAUGAAGGCGGAAUCGCUAGUAAUCGUGGAUCAGCACGUCACGGUGAAUACGUUCCCGAAU